AGCAGCUGAAGAAGUCCUCAGCAGCCAUGGAGUACCCAAGAAGGAAAGAGUGGGAGAGAAGGAGCAAGUCUGGAGAGCCACAUGGAACUAAACGGUACCAGUGAAGUGGGCAGAUUACACUGGACCUCAGGCAACAAAGCAGAGACACCUGAACCAAGCCAUACGACACAUAACGAGGAAUUCAACUGAGAGAAAACCCAGAAACUGCCAAAAACUGCUGUAACACCUACCUGGCUCUACAAGACGUCAAGAGUGAAGAGGAGAGGGAAGGAAUGAAGUGAUAGUGAUGAGUGCAGAUGAUAAGGAUGAAAAACUACAGGGAGAGCGGACACACACACCACUGAAUGCAGAUUGAAAUUUUCUAUCCAACGGUGUACAGCACAACCACUGGGCUCCCGCAAAGUGUUGAGCCAGAGUGACUUGAAUACUAGGCAAGUGUGUGACGUGCGCGCUGCUUCCACUGUUGCAUUACUGACACCGUCGCUCGGCAGUCACCUUCCAGGCGUUUUACUGGUAAUAAUGAUAAACAUGUACUUUUGUGUGUG